rnacentral:rRNA from 1 species
UACAGAGGUCUCAAGCGUUGUUCGGAUUCAUUGGGCGUAAAGGGUGCGUAGGUGGCGCCGUAAGUCGGGUGUGAAAUUUCGGAGCUUAACUCCGAAACUGCAUUCGAUACUGCGGUGCUUGAGGACUGGAGAGGAGACUGGAAUUCAUGGUGUAGCGGUGAAAUGCGCAGAUAUCAGGAGGAACACCGGUGGCGAAGGCGGGUCUCUGGGCCGAUACUGACGCUGAGGGGCGAAAGCGUGGGGAGCAAACAGG